CAGUGUUAAAAGAUCACUGAAACUGGAUGGUUUGUUAGAAGAAAAUUCAUUUGAUCCUGCAAAAAUUACGAGGAAGAAAAGUAUUACAACUUAUUCUCCAACAACUGGAACUUGUCAAAUGAGCCCAUUUGCUUCUCCCACAAGCUCUAAUGAACAAAAGCACAGAAAUGGACCAUCAAAUGACAUUUAUCAGAAGUUGUUAUAUGUAAGACACAGAGAAUCUUUGUGCUUUUGUUCGGGAUGG